rnacentral:lncRNA from 10 species
CCGCUCUCCCUUGGAUCUCGGCCCUGCCUUGGGCCUAGGGCCUUGGGCCUUGAGAGGCAGGGAGAUUCUAGUGGACGCUGUGCUGGCACUCUCUGCAUGGCUGCCCUCAGGCAGGGGGAACCAUCAGGCCAUCUGGAACCAUCACAACACGAUCUUCCCCAUCCCCUGGGAACCACCAUCCCAGGCAGCUGUGGGUGAGGGUGGCAAGAUGCUAGACUUGCAUUUCUCAGCCUGACUGGGAGUCUCAGCUCCUGAAUGCAAUGACCCUGCAACGCUGGGCAGUUUGCUCCAGCAUUCUGGGCCUGGGUUUCCUCACUUGUAACAUGGGGGUAAUGGUGCUUAUGUUCCAGGACUGUCUGAGGAUUAAAUGAGAUAAUGAUAUAAAGCACCAAGCACAGGGUCUGGCCCAGAGGAAGCACUUGAUAAAUGGGGAUUGUUCCUAACUGAGCUUCUGUGGCAUUCUAUGCUGCAAUAGUGAUGGCGGGGAGGGGACACCUGAAAGAAGGCUGCACCUUGUGGGAUGGGAAUGGGGGCGGAAGGAGAGAUUAUGCUGGAGAAAUUGAGCGUUUGAGACUGCUUAAAGAGAAGAAUCCUUUUGGGAGGAGCCUGGGACUGUGAGGUCAGUGUGACCCAGGAAUGAUAAACUUGUGUGAUCUGC